GGAAGGUGGUCAUCACAUUCCUCCUGUCUGAAUGGCCCAGAGCCACCAGUAGUUUCUGCUGAUGGAAAGCCACAGGAGCUCGGUAAAUAAGAACUUGUGCUGGAACUUCUUUCCUUUACACUCACAGAGUAUCUUGCAUAUGAAAUUAAGGAGGAACGGGAGUUUGCGGCAGUGUUUCUGAGCUGUUACAGGACUGAGGUCACAGACGUGGAAUUGGAAGUAAAAGUGAAGAUGCUUUCCUGGAUUUUCUCUGUCCAAGAAAGAUAGAAAAUGCAGUGUGUCACCUGGGUUGUACUGUCUGUGUCAGCCUCUGCCCUGGUCAUACAAGGCCUCUAUUACAAUGAGUAGAAAGGGGAAAUUAUUUUAGGCUGUGGUUCGUCUCCUC
rnacentral:lncRNA from 1 species